rnacentral:rRNA from 1 species
AGAUUGAACGCUGGCGGCAUGCCUAACACAUGCAAGUCGAACGGGAGUAGCAAUACUCUAGUGGCGGACGGGUGAGGAAUACGUAGGAAUUUGCCCUUAAGUGGGGGAUAACCCGGGGAAACCCGGAUUAAUACCGCAUGACCUCGAAAGAGCGAAGUGGGGGAUCGCAAGACCUCACGCUUUUGGAGAAGCCUACGUCGGAUUAGCUAGUUGGUGAGGUAAUGGCUCACCAAGGCGACGAUCCGUAACUGGUCUGAGAGGAUGAUCAGUCACACCGGAACUGAGACACGGUCCGGACUCCGUACGGGACGGACAGCGAGGUGGGGAAUAGUUGGACAAGUGGGCGACGAACGCCUGAUCCGAGCAAGUCGCCGUCGUGUGUAGAAGACGGUCCGUUACGGGUUA